AACACCACCACCACACCUAAAAGCUAAAACCCUAGCGUUUUCUCCUCCUCUUCUUCUUCAUCUAUAUAAACCUCCAUUACCCCUCUGGUUUUUUUCAGGGUUUAAAUAGCUUUAGUAGCUGGAAAAAAAACAAUGGAGCUUUGUGUACCUCAAACCUUCUCGAAUCUUCCAAAUUAUAGGAUUAGUAAUCGAGCUCAACUCCAAUGGAGACCCUCUUUACUACUCAAAAAAACCCUCAAAAUCUCGAUUCAAUUCAGGAUCAUUUUACCGUAAAGGCUCAGCUGUUAGAACAAAAGCAGAGACAGAGGCUUAUG
rnacentral:misc_RNA from 1 species